rnacentral:lncRNA from 1 species
AGGCCAGCGCAUCAAACUUGACCAAUAGUGAAGAUAUUGGUCGAGAGCGUGAACCCAUGCCAUCAGCCUUAACCUAUAGGCAUUUUGACUGAGAAGCAUCCUUGCUCGCAGGAACGUCACCAAGUUAAUCUUCCCCAUUUCCCGUUCUCUCAUACCUGGUCAAUGAAAUAACCAGUCGCAAGCCAAUGAGUACUUUGAAUGUACUCACAAACAGCUCAUGAUGUGGAACAAGGUAAUAAAGGAACAUGAACUAGCAUAAGAAUGCAACCUUUGUGGAAAGAAGGUUUUUCUUUAAUUGGAGUAACAUGGUCAAGUGUAGGUAUAAUCAUGCAUCAUAAGGUAGAUGGUAAUAAUAAGAAUAGGUUACGGAUAUCAACAUAUCUGCUGAGGGCUGAACACCUCAGGUUCACCCUAUAUGCCAAGCCAGAGGACUUGACAAUAUCAUCUUUCUCAAC